UGUCUGCCCCUUUCAGUGGAACCUUUCGCCAAGGGAGGAUAGGAGCCUCCGGAAGAACGUGCUGCCAGAUGCAGGCCUGGCCUGCAGAAGGUGCAGUAUAGAUGAAUUGCUGACAGUCUAGUAGGAAACAAAUGAAAAGUUUUCUGGGAUGCUUCCUUCAGGGCUGGAAAAGCCAAAGUAAASUGAAGGUCAACAAUGAUGGAAGACAUUCAUCCCUACCCUUUAAAUACAGCUUAAAUCAGGAAGAAUUACAGCUUCUUUUCUUUGUACUUUGUUUUUGUAGGGUGCUCUGAUGUAGUGUGUUUCUGUGAUGCUUGAAGGGUGUGUGUCUUGACAGGAUGGGAUGACRGUCAUUUUAUUGUCAUUCUAAAGGCCUAAUUUUAUGCAACAGAGCASAGGUCUCUAGACUUCAACAGAGUCCAGAAUGAGUAGGAGUCUAGAACUGAAUAAUUUUCUGUAAAUUGUAAGCUUAUAUUUAUUUCUUCCAAAAAUACUUGGAUUUAGCUUAUUGGAAGUAUUGAAAGAAAUGCCUUCACUGCUAGUGCUCCUGUGUUUUUUUUAGUUAAUAAGCACCUCUGGUAACAUCACAGCAYUGCUUGUGCCUCUCCCCCUGCAACAGAUUGGAUUGGGAUUAAAAUAGAUGKGUUUUAUCUAGGUUGCUUUAUAUAUAGGUAUAGCUCUUGGGCAGUUUUUGCCAUGUUGCAGUAUCUUGGAUAGACUAACAGAAAAAAGCACUACUUCAGAUAUUUAAUAUCAUAGAUUAAAUUUGUAAGAGUGAUGGAGAUGUAAGCUGUUGAAGAACAAUUUCAUAUGUUCUAGUAUUCAGAUCGCAUUAAUACAUUUUUGUGUUUGCAAUGAAGUGAUUGAAGUUUUAUGAGUUGGAUGUCUGAUGGAGGAUAAACAAAGAGGGAAGAACAAAAACUSCUGCAGAGCUGAUAUCGUACGUCUUAAUUUUGGUAGCCAAAAAAAAAAAAUUGUUUUCAUUUUGAUACUUCACCAAACAUUUUGAAUGUUACUCUUGGUUAUAGARUUAUGGCUUAGAGAAAACUCUAUCUACCUACGUAGAAAACCAAAAUGAAAUUUUUGCUUUUUGAUUUACAGCAUCAUUUACUUCAGAGUGUUUGUGCCUCAGUGCUGACCCAGCUGAGGUACAAACUGCGAAAUCCYCCAGCUACAGCGUGUUAGCUCUUCAGGUCAGACAGCAGCAAGUGCUUCCCUUGCAGGGUAGACAAGGAUCAGGACAGUCUUAGGCUGCCAGUACAGAAAAAUCCCACGGCUGCACUACAAUGGAUUUCUGUGUUUWCACUGCCAGGGAAGACACAGAAAGAUUAUUUUUUCCCGGCAUCUUCUGCUCUAUACYAUGCAAAAGUCUGCCACAUGACGGUAAUUAGUAAGUACUUGGUGAUGAGGGAAAUACAGAUGUCCAAGCGAUACAGGGUUUGUUAACCAGACAUGUCUAAUUACUGUCUUGGUGUGCACAGMCAGCCAAGGAAUUCAGUCAAGUCUAUUACAUUAAAAAUGACAGGAAUUAAAACUUCCUGUGGCAUCUUCCACUUUUAGAGGCUGGGAAAAUGUUGCAGGAGGAGAGGCACAAGCAGUGCUGUSAGGUUACCAGAGGUGCUUAUUGCARUGACUCCUCCAAGGGUUUCMAUCCUUCCAGCUGCUGUUUGAUUUUGAUUUUUGAUGGUCUUUCUAGGUGUCAUUUGGUGGAGAUUACUUAUCUGUGCCCACUAAUUAGCAAAACCUGCUUGUAGAACUUUACAUGAAAGRAUUAGGGGAUUCAAACAGUAAAGCAAAUCGACUUCUUUUAGCACACCAAUAAUAUAGCAUUUUUGAUAAGGAAAAUAUGGAGCUUCUAAGUACGAGCACUGGUGAUUCUGCUUGAUUUUUUUUUCCAUCUUUAGUUUUUAAGGCAAAUAAACAAGACUAAGCAUGGAGGGGAUGGAAGUAGGUAAGACUAAGUCCUAAAGCAAACUUGUGUAUUUCUUAGAAUACUUGAGAAUCAGAUCAAAUCACUUUACGGUACCUUUCUAGGUAGACAACUUCUAUUGCCUUGAGAAGGGAAAGAUAAAGAAAUGCUUACUGCUUUCUUUUCUUCUUACUCUGAACUACAUAGAUAGGUUCAGCAUAUAUAAGUCCCAUAUUUGUACUGACAAAUAGCAGCAAAGAUUUUCAGGGAGAUGUGAUUUAGUUUAACAUAGUUUCAGCAUAGCAUUAAUGACGGUUGUAUAUAAUUAAGAGUAAAACGACACACAUGGUUGAUGAACAUGUGUGUUCAAUUUACACAGUCAGAAUGAACAGACAAGCUUCCCUCUGCAUCUCUGGCUGCAACUGUUCUGCUUUUCAGCCCUAAAGUCAGUGAGAUUAGCUGGAGAUGUCAUCUUUUCCAUCCCUGAUGAAGAAGGACAUAUGCUCCAAGUACUUUAUAAGCAGCAUUUGUUGGGGUCAGAAAACACCCUAGGUAGGGUAAGAGUGAAAAGAGUGGGCAGAAAAGCAGAUGAGAGAGGGAUCAUUGAACCCAGAAACAUACAGCCCUUGGCUUAUAAUGCUGUGGUGCAUGCACUGAUAGCUUGGCCAGCCUCUGCCAGCUUUCACCUUUACUGUGCAAAGRCAGUAUCCCAGGGGCAUUUGGAAAAGGUUCUGGCACCUUCUAGGUGCAAAAUGUGCCUUAGGAAGCUGAGAAUACAGGCAUGGGUUGGACUUAGGCUGCUGAAUUGAUAAUGAUCUAAUUAUCUCCAAUUUGCUGUGCAGACCAGUUGAUUGUGCUAUCUUGUGUAGUAGAAGGGUGGUAGUUACCAUGCAAGAUAAAGACCUCUAUGUUUUUGAAAGAAAAAGCAUCAGCUUGCCAAGCAGAACUGUGUACUGAUGUUAAUCUGUGUCUGCAUACCUUCAUUGCGCACGGGCAAGCACAGUGAAAGCUUAAUGAUGAUAACCUGAGGAGCAACUUCUGAAAAAAGGCAGAGUUCUAUGUAAAAAAUGCAUGUGCCUCAGCUGAAUGAAUAUCUUCUGUAUCACUGUGUGAAUGUGACAGUCCUCUGCACGAURAUGAUGAUGUAAGCUUCACUGUAAUGAAUUGAUGCCAAUGUUCUAGAUGUUACUGGAGCAAAGAGAAGGGUAUUCCUUUUUUUUUGGGCUUUUUUUUUUACACUGGCCUCAGUAGGAUUUAUUGCAGAGGCUAAGGGAAAUGCUGCUGUCAACCUGCUUCAUGGAUGCCACUGGAGAGAAGAUUCAGAAUUUCCCAAGUGAUUCAYAGAUGUCUUAUGGCUGGAGAUUACUGUGGGGAUGUCAGUCAUUUAAUUUGUCCCUUGGAAAGUGCCACCCACAUCUGUGGUCCACCAGCCCUCAAAGGUCUUUCCCUUGCCCUUCUGUCUCUGCAGUAAACUUACAGAUGUGAAUUGCUUUUCCUUGUGUAAUGCUCCUUGGAUAUUAUUUUUAUKUUGUUUGUUCAUGGGGACUUUUUUUUAUUCUUCUCACCAUUUUCUGCCACUUUUUUGCCAUAAAUAAUUUUGAAGUGUKCUUCCUUGUCAUAACUGUAAGCUCCAAUGACAUAUUUGUAGGCAUUGCACCUAAUUUCAAAUUCAGACAUUGCUUUAAACUUGGCAACUGUAAAGACAUUAAAAGAAGAAACCCCAAGAACAAACCCUUAAGGUUUUCAGGUCAAAAGUUCUUCUUUUCU